AUACUUACCUGGCCGGGGAGAUAGCAUGAUCAGGAAGGUGGUUUUCCCAGGGUGAGGCUUAUGCACUGCACUCCGGAACUCUGGGUUUGCUGACCCAUGUGGUUUCCCCAAAUGUGGGAAACUCCACCACAUAAUUUGUGGUAGUAGGGGAAUCUGUUUGCGCUCUCCCUUA